CCCGAGUGCUCCGUGAUCGCUGCGCAUGCGUGAGCUGAGAGAAGGUGAGAAAGGAGAACAACUCUUUUUCGCAGGAUGUGACGUCACAUUGUUGCUUGUUUUUACUUUUUUGAAAGAGCUACUCUCGAACGUAGAUUAGCCAUUGCCGUCGUGUCGGCUGCAAGACUUUCUGCGCGCGCUUUUGUGCAUGUCGAAAGCGUAUAACGUGCGCGAUAUUCGUGCGAGCGCAGUUUGACUUGAGCAAUCGUGGGUUUGGACUCCGUGACAUUUGCUUUCGUCAUAUGCGAGUUAGGGGCUUGCCGACAGAUGAGUUGAGAUUUACACAUCAAUGCCAGCUCACAAAGCAUCUAAUACGGCAAUCAGCCAGCCACCUCCGCAGAU
rnacentral:lncRNA from 1 species